CAGUUGGGCACUCUAGAGGGACUGCCGGUGGUCAAACCGGAGGAAGGUGGGGAUGACGUCAAGUCCUCAUGGCCUUUAUGUCUAGGGCUACACACGUACUACAAUGGCCGGUACAAAGGGCAGCCACUCAGCGAUGACGGCGCUAAUCCCAUAAAGCCGGUCUCAGUCCGGAUCGCAGUCUGCAACUCGACUGCGUGAAGUUGGAAUCGCUAGUAAUCGUAGAUCAGCAUGCUACGGUGAAUACGUUCCCGGGCCUU
rnacentral:rRNA from 1 species